AGUCACUGACAUUAGAUACCCGUGUAGUCCAGGGUGUAAACGCUGCAGACUUGGUGUUGGAGGCCCUUUGGGGGCAUUCAGUGCCGGAGAGAAGUUGUUAAGUCUGCUACGUUGGGAGUACGUCCGCAAGGAUGAAACUUAAAGGAAUUGGCGGGGGAGCACCGCAACGGGAGGAGCGUGCGGUUUAAUUGGAUUCAACACCGUAAAACUCACCAGGGAAGACUGUUACAUGAAAGCCGAGAUGAAGACUCUGCUAGAUUUUCAG
rnacentral:rRNA from 1 species